CUCCCUGUCGGGAAGCUGAGGGAGGAACGGCAUCCCUGGCGUUACGGGGGUUACGUGGUGAAGGUUUUCUUUGCCAGCAGGCUAGAGCUAGAGCUUUGCCUUUCAAGCCUGCAAAGACCAACCUCUUUAUCUACCAGCAGACACCCCAAGAGGAACACACCUGCACAGACCAGUCCAACCAAGGUGAUCUGCCAUGCUGAGACACUCCAAGCAAAACCUGGGAUGAAUUCCCAAGAUUCUCCUGUAGCACUCACUCAUGUUGUGCUCACUCAGACUGACAUUCUCUGUUGAGGCCUGCAACUCUAGGGGCAACACCAACUUACAGACU